rnacentral:rRNA from 1 species
UACGGGGGGGGCAAGCGUUGUUCGGAAUUACUGGGCGUAAAGGGCGCGUAGGCGGCCUUCUAAGUCGGACGUGAAAUCCCUCGGCUCAACCGAGGAACUGCGUCUGAUACUGGAAGGCUUGAAUCCGGGAGAGGGAUGUGGAAUUCCAGGUGUAGCGGUGAAGUGCGUAGAUAUCUGGAGGAACACCAGUGGCGAAGGCGGCAUCCUGGACCGGCAUUGACGCUGAGGCGCGAAAGCUAGGGGAGCAAACGGG